UACGUAGGGGGCUAGCGUUGUCCGGAUUUAUUGGGCGUAAAGAGCGUGUAGGCGGCCAGGUAGGUCUGCUGUGAAAACUCGAGGCUCAACCUCGAGACGUCGGCGGAAACCAUCUGGCUAGAGUCCGGAAGAGGAGAGUGGAAUUCCUGGUGUAGCGGUGAAAUGCGCAGAUAUCAGGAAGAACACCGGUGGCGAAGGCGGCAUCCUGGACCGGUAUUGACGCUGAGGCGCGAAAGCUAGGGGAGCAAACGGG
rnacentral:rRNA from 1 species